rnacentral:rRNA from 1 species
GACGAACGCUGGCGGCGUGCCUAAUACAUGCAAGUCGAGCGAAGUUUUUCUGGUGCUUGCACUAGAAAAACUUAGCGGCGAACGGGUGAGUAACACGUAAAGAACCUGCCUCAUAGACUGGGACAACUAUUGGAAACGAUAGCUAAUACCGGAUAACAGCAUUAACUGCAUGGUUGAUGUUUGAAAGUUGGUUUUGCUAACACUAUGAGAUGGCUUUGCGGUGCAUUAGCUAGUUGGUGGGGUAAAGGCCUACCAAGGCGACGAUGCAUAGCCGACCUGAGAGGGUGAUCGGCCACACUGGGACUGAGACACGGCCCAGACUCCUACGGGAGGCAGCAGUAGGGAAUCUUCCGCAAUGGGCGAAAGCCUGACGGAGCAACGCCGCGUGAGUGAAGAAGGAUUUCGAUUCGUAAAGCUCUGUUGUUAGGGAAGAAUGAUUAUGUAGUAACUAUACAUA